rnacentral:rRNA from 1 species
UACGUAGGGGGCAAGCGUUAUCCGGAUUUACUGGGCGUAAAGCGCGUUAAGGCGGCUGUGUAAGUUAGUGGUGAAAUUCCAAAGCUCAACUUUGGAACUGCCGCUAAUACUGCGCGGCUGGAGUGUGAGAGAGGAAAGUGGAAUUCCCGGUGUAGUAGUGAAAUGCGUAGAUAUCGGGAGGAACACCAGUGGCGAAGGCGGCUUUCUGGCUCACAACUGACGCUGUAGCGCGAAAGCGUGGGGAGCGAACGGG